AUGCAUGUGUCUUCCCCCAGCCCAGGCAGGAGCUGCCUUAUUACUCCAGGAACCCCAAAUGCAUGCGUCUCCCCCAGCCCAGGCAGGAGCUGCCUUAUUACUCCAGGAACCCCAAAUGCAUGCAUCUCCCCAGCCCAGGCAGGAGCUGCCUUUUACUCCAGGAACCCCAAAUGCAUGCGUCUCCCCAGCCCAGGCAGGAGCUGCCUUAUCACUCCAGGAAUCCCAAAUGCAUGCAUCUCCCCAGCCCAGGCAGGAGCUGCCUUAUCACUCCAGGAACCCCAAAUGCAUGCGUCUCCCCCAGCCCAGGCAGGAGCUGCCUUAUCACUCCAGGAACCCCAAAUGCAUGUGUCUUCCCCCAGCCCAGGCAGGAGCUGCCUUAUCACUCCAGGAACCCCAAAUGCAUGCGUCUCCCCCAGCCCAGGCAGGAGCUGCCUUAUCACUCCAGGAACCCCAAAUGCAUGCGUCUCCCCCAGCCCAGGCAGGAGCUGCCUUAUCACUCCAGGAACCCCAAAUGCAUGCGUCUCCCCCAGCCCAGGCAGGAGCUGCCUUAUCACUCCAGGAACCUCAAAUGCAUGUGUCUCCCCCAGCCCAGGCAGGAGCUGCCUUAUGACUCCAGGAACCCCAAAUGCAUGCGUCUCCCCCAGCCCAGGCAGGAGCUGUCUUAUUACUCCAGGAACCUCAAAUGCAUGUGUCUCCCCCAGCCCAGGCAGGAGCUGCCUUAUUACUCCAGGAACCCCAAAUGCAUGCGUCUCCCCAGCCCAGGCAGGAGCUGUCUUAUUACUCCAGGAACCCCGGGAAGGGAGCCCUGUCCAUCAGACAUGUUGUCCACCUGAUGAACAGACACUGAACAACCCCCUCUGUAUGAUCCCCUCAUACUCAACAUCCAUCUCUGAUUCUUUACAUUGGAAAAAAGGUAAUAAAGAUGGUAUCUGUCUUAAACUCAUUGGUAACACAGUACUUAGUGAUGAAGUUCUGGAAACAUUCUCAUUAAAUCAGGGAAUAAAAUACCCACUCCCACCAGUAUCCUUUACCGUCGUCUAG
rnacentral:lncRNA from 1 species